rnacentral:rRNA from 1 species
GAUUGAACGCUGGCGGCAGGCUUAACACAUGCAAGUCGAACGGUAACAUAGAGAAGCUUGCUUCUUUGAUGACGAGUGGCGGACGGGUGAGUAAUGCUUGGGAAUCUGGCUUAUGGAGGGGGAUAACUACGGGAAACUGUAGCUAAUACCGCGUAAUAUCGAAAGAUUAAAGUGUGGGACCUUCGGGCCACAUGCCAUAGGAUGAGCCCAAGUGGGAUUAGGUAGUUGGUGAGGUAAAGGCUCACCAAGCCGACGAUCUCUAGCUGGUCUGAGAGGAUGACCAGCCACACUGGGACUGAGACACGGCCCAGACUCCUACGGGAGGCAGCAGUGGGGAAUAUUGCGCAAUGGGGGCAACCCUGACGCAGCCAUGCCGCGUGAAUGAAGAAGGCCUUCGGGUUGUAAAGUUCUUUCGGUAGCGAGGAAGGUGGUUAGUUUAAUAGGCUAGCCAAUUGACGUUAACUACAGAAGAAGCACCGGCUAACUCCGU